UACAGAGGGGGCAAGCGUUGUUCGGAAUUACUGGGCGUAAAGGGCGCGUAGGUGGCCUUCUAAGUUGAACGUGAAAUCCCUGGGCUCAACCCAGGAACUGCGUCCAAGACUGGGAGGCUUGAAUCCGGGAGAGGGAUGCGGAAUUCCAGGUGUAGCGGUGAAAUGCGUAGAUAUCUGGAGGAACACCGGUGGCGAAGGCGGCAUCCUGGACCGGUAUUGACACUGAGGCGCGAAAGCCAGGGGAGCAAACGGGAUUAGAAACCGAGUAGUCC
rnacentral:rRNA from 1 species